rnacentral:rRNA from 1 species
GAUGAACGCUGACAGAAUGCUUAACACAUGCAAGUCGAUGGGGAAGGCUGAGCUUGCUUAGCUGGUAACCAUGGCGGACGGGUGAGUAACGCGUAAGGAACUUACCUGCGGGACUGGGAUAACGGAGGGAAACUUCUGACAAGACCGGAUAAAGUUACUGGGCAGCAUUGUUUGGUAAUGAAAGGGAACGCCUGCGGAGAGUCUUGCGUCCUAUUAGCUAGUUGGUUGGGUAAUGGCUGACCAAGGCGAAGAUAGGUAGCCGGCCUGAGAGGGUGGACGGCCACAAGGGGACUGAGAUACGGCCCUUACUCCUACGGGAGGCAGCAGUGGGGAAUAUUGGACAAUGGGGGCAACCCUGAUCCAGCAAUUCUGUGUGCACGAAGAAGGUUUUCGGAUUGUAAAGUGCUUUCAGCAGGGAAGAAGUAAGUGACGGUACCUGC